rnacentral:rRNA from 1 species
AGAGUUUGAUCCUGGCUCAGGACGAACGCUGGCGGCGUGCUUAACACAUGCAAGUCGAACGGACCUUAUUUGGAGGAAGCUUUCGGGUAGACACUGAAUAAGGUUAGUGGCGGACGGGUGAGUAACGCGUAGAUAAUCUACCUUAAAGACUGGGACAACAGUUGGAAACGACUGCUAAUACCGGAUAAGCUAAACGGAAGGCAUCUUCUGUUUAGGAAAGGAGGCCUCUUAACAAUGCUCCCGCUUUUAGAUGAGUCUGCGU